UUUGCUGCCACAUGGAUCUCCACUCCCUACCUCUACUGAGACGGCAGACCAAAGGACCUCGCUAGCACACUGUCCCUCAAACAGUGACAUACUGCCUGCA